rnacentral:rRNA from 1 species
ACAUGCCUACACCAUAGCGUUAAUUCACUAGAUCCCAUUAGAGCUCCACAGUUAAGUGUGCUUGAGAUAGAGUAGUACUGGGAUGGGUGACCACCUGAUAAGUCCUAGUGUUUUACAUGCC